GACAGAGGGUGCAAGCGUUGUCCGGAAUCAUUGGGCGUAAAGAGCGUGUAGGCGGUUCGGUAAGUCCGCCGUGAAAACCUGGGGCUCAACCCUGGGCGUGCGGUGGAUACUGCUGGGCUAGAGGAUGGUAGAGGCGAGUGGAAUUCCCGGUGUAGCGGUGAAAUGCGCAGAUAUCGGGAGGAACACCAGUAGCGAAGGCGGCUCGCUGGGCCAUUCCUGACGCUGAGACGCGAAAGCUAGGGGAGCGAACAGG
rnacentral:rRNA from 1 species